rnacentral:rRNA from 1 species
CCUACGGGGGGCUGCAGUGAGGAAUAUUGGUCAAUGGACGAGAGUCUGAACCAGCCAAGUAGCGUGAAGGAUGACUGCCCUAUGGGUUGUAAACUUCUUUUAUAUGGGAAUAAAAUGUUCCACGUGUGGGAUUUUGUAUGUACCAUAUGAAUAGGGAUCGGCUAACUCCGUGCCAGCAGCCGCGGUAAUACGGAGGAUCCGAGCGUUAUCCGGAUUUAUUGGGUUUAAAGGGAGCGUAGGUGGAUUGUUAAGUCAGUUGUGAAAGUUUGCGGCUCAACCGUAAAAUUGCAGUUGAAACUGGCAGUCGUGAGUACAGUAGAGGUGGGCGGAAUUCGUGGUGUAGCGGUGAAAUGCUUAGAUAUCACGAAGAACUCCGAUUGCGAAGGCAGCUCACUGGACUGCAACUGACACUGAGGCUCGAAAGUGUGGGUAUCAAACAGGAUUAGAUACCCUUGUAGUC